rnacentral:rRNA from 1 species
CAGUAGCGUAUAUUAAAGUUGUUGCAGUUAAAAUGCUCGUAGUUGAAGUUCGGAUGCAGCAGAGCUUGGAAACGCUGUUAUGGUGCUUCCGUUGCUUUUGCUUGUCCACAGUGCGUUGCAAGUACGUAUGUGCUUGUGCGUGCAUUUUACUUUGAGAAACAUAGGGUGUUCAAAGCAAGCCUACGCUCUGAAUAUAUUAGCAUGGAAUAACACGAUAGGACUCUGGCUUAUCUUGUUGGUCUGUGAGACCAGAGUAAUGAUUAAGAGGGACAGUCGGGGACAUUCGUAUUUCAUUGUCAGAGGUGAAAUUCUUGGAUUUAUGAAAGACGAACUUCUGCGAAAGCAUUUGUCAAGGAUGUUUUCAUUAA